rnacentral:rRNA from 1 species
UACGUAGGGUGCAAGCGUUGUCCGGAAUUAUUGGGCGUAAAGAGCUCGUAGGCGGUCUGUCACGUCGGCUGUGAAAACCCGAGGCUCAACCUCGGGCCUGCAGUCGAUACGGGCAGACUAGAGUUCGGUAGGGGAGACUGGAAUUCCUGGUGUAGCGGUGAAAUGCGCAGAUAUCAGGAGGAACACCGGUGGCGAAGGCGGCUCACUGGCUCGUAACUGACGCUCAUGCACGACAGCGUGGGGAUCAAACAGG